UUUGAUCAAUUUUAAACUUUUCAUACACACGUAUAUUAUCCUUUAAUCGGGCUUACAAGGCCCAAAAUAUUCAUGAGGCAUUAUUAAAUAUUUACCAAUAUCUUAGUCUUGUAUCAUUUACUUACUCAACUUUACAACCCUAUACAUGCCAUAGACUCGAAACACUAAGAUUUACUUACGCCGAUAGUGUAGACUUGACAAUGUGAUAAUAUCUUUAACGGCCUCCAACCCGAUCUAACCUGGCAACCCUAGGGAAUAUGGGAAAGAAAAGGGGAGUAAGCUUUACGCUUAGUAAGUUCAUAAGAAAACAAUAAGCAACUCAUUAACAAGUUUUAUUAAUGUUUACAACAUAAUCACAAAUUCACUACAAGUUGUCUUCCUGAGCAAUAGUCACUAAAUUAUUUAUAACUGGAGCUACAAAACUCCAAAUCAAUUGCCGUUAAUUUUCCUGAAAAUAGACUCAUAUAUCUUCCAUCCAUAAAAUUUUCAGAAUUUUAGGUUUGGCCAAUCAAUACCAGAUUUUUCUUAAAGUUUCCCCUGUUUCACUGUUUGACUAAUCUGACCACUCUUCACUACGAAUCAAAUUUCUCAUUGUACAGAAUUCAAAAUAUGUUCUAUUUGAUUUCAUUUGAAACUAGACUCAUUAAGGAGUCUAAGCAUAUAAAUUUUAUCUUAUAACUAUUUUUGUACAAAUUAUAAUGAUUUUCUAAAAACAGAAUAGGGGACCCCAAAGUCAUUUGACUCUAUCCCACGCAACUUCAAAUAUCUCAUUAUCAGCAAUUCUUUUGCUUACACGGUUUCUUUUAUAAGAAACUAGACUCAUUAAGCUUUAAUUACAUAAUUUAUUCAGCUUCUAACUCAACUCCAACAAUUUAUGGUGAUUUUCCAAAAUCACGUUACUGCUGCUGUCCCAAGCAGAUUUAUUACAAAUUUACUCUUUCACACAUUCUUUGCAUUCACAUUAUUUAAACAUGUAUAUCACCAAUCAAUUUCAUCACAUAUCUAUAAUUUCACUCAAGCAUAAUCUCAAUACAAUACAUCAUGCUCAAUGAUUCGCACACAACCGUUCAAAUUAGCAAUUAUAAGAUGAUUCCGCACAUAGUCCACCCUUAUCAAUAAUUUACGAUGGUUUUGCCCUUACUCACAUAUAUGACAUAGGCAUUUUCACCUAUGCUUCUCAUUUCACACUCAUGAUUCAAUUCCAAUCGAUCUAACAUGCAUAAGAAUAUAUCACAUACCUGGCCAACUUAAUGCAUUGAACAAAUUCAAUUGCCGAUUUAACACAAGGUCUCAUAGUCUUAGACUUUUAUCAAAUCACCGGCAUUUAGCCUACUAGGUUUUAAACCCGAUAAUAUUAUUCACCAGCUUAAAGCUUGCUAGGCUGGAAGCCCAAAUAUCACCAUUAUAAAGUCGUCUCAUAAACAAUUCAUAUAAUAUAGCAUGUAUACCUGUUCACUUUGCUCUAUUUAAUCAUUCAAUCACAAUUUAUACUUUCCCUUUGAAUCAUUCGAUAUUUGCACACUAAGUGUCAUUCUCAAUAUCUCGCACACUAAGUGCCAUUCUCAAUAUUUCGUACACUGAGUACCAUAUUUGAUUGCCCCGCACACUAAGUGCCACAUUUUGUCGAUAUGUCGUCAGACAUUAAAAUAUUCACGUAUAUACAAUUUAUACAAUAUUAAAGCAUUAGAAACAUCAAUUUAACAAUGCUUAUUGCAUACGAACUUACCUGGCUAAAUUGUAGAGAUACCAAAGUUCAGGGGCAUUUUGGUAAUUUUCUCAUUUUUCUCGAUUUUCCACCCGAU
rnacentral:lncRNA from 1 species